GACGGAGAGAGAGACGCAGUGAAGCGGGUCGUGGUGGUGGAGAGUUGAGACAGAGGAGGAAGAAAGAGACAAAAAAACAAGCAAAAAAAAAAAAAGAAAGACAGAAGAGUGAACGAAAAUAAGCCUAUGUAAAAAAAAUCGGUUGAAAAAAAGGAAUAAAAAAAGACUGACAGAAAAAGAAAUGAAAAGAAGGAACAAAAAGAGAGAAUAAAAAAUAAGUAUGUCUAGAUUAUGAGAGUAAGAUAAAGACAAGAGAGUAAAGAGAGAAAAUAUUGCUCGUAAAAGUAUUGUAGGAAGAAGAUAAAAGGAGGAGGAAGAUAAUACAGGGACACAUGACAUAUUCAAGACAAACAUAGCGAGUGAACCUCGUCACACACCUCUGAGACAACCAAGAGUGGCGCUGUGACGUGGACAGGUGAGGCGUGACGUGAUGGGGACACCUGCCGAGCCCCUUGAGUUGACAGGACGUGAGGAGGUAAGGUGGAGGUGGGCGAAGUGAGCGUCUGCCAGAGGAGGUGGAGGAGGAGCUGGAGGAGGAGGAGGCGUGAGGUGAGAAGGAGCAGAGACGAUAUAGCUGGAAGUGCCGCAUGACGAGAAGGAGAACACAGAGGAGGCAGAGAAGAGAUAAAGAGAAGAGGACCUGUAGUGCCACGUGUACAUUGCCUCCACAGCCGCCGCCACUGCUCUUCAAAGGUCAUCAUGUGUACCAACGACGACUCCGUGGCAACCAUCUCCAUGACAAAACCGGUUAAAAAGGGAUACCUCAUCAGAUACAAAAAGCGAUUCAUAGGGUCGAACUGGCGCGAGGACUGGGUGGUGCUGCACGAGGACUCAGCGCUAGAGUGGUACAAAGAACAUGACGAGACCGACCUCCUGGGGGCCAUCAUGCUCAAGGAGGCCCCGGAGAUGAUA